rnacentral:lncRNA from 1 species
CCCAUGUUAUUCAUCAAGUAAUUAGGCAAGUCAUCAACAAAACUCAAAUUCUAGUUACUAUGCAAUAGAACUACAAUAGGUAUACAUUAAUCACUUAGCAUCCUCCACCAUAUAAUCCCACCAUAUUAUCCGCUCCUAUUGUUCGGAUCACAUCUUCCACCACUUCUCGGAUCACAUCUUCCACCACUUCUCCAAUAUGGAUUAUAGUAAUCCUGCAACAAGAAAAAUAAAAUGGUGGUUUUUAGAAACAAAUAACAUCCAAUAAGUCACCACAAAUUGAAAGAGAAAGUAGUAAAAUAAGACAUUAUACCUGAAAAUGAAUGGAAAAAUCCCCGCCAUAAUAGACAUCAUGAUUUGUGGCAAAUGGAAAGUCAUUAACAAAUUAAAUUGUAGGUGUAUUGGAUUUUAAUAAUGAGAAACAUUUUGGAACACUCCAUCUGAAGUUUUCAGUAACAGGGAAUAUAUUUAUAUUUCUUAAAAACUAAUUAGUUGUUUGAUUUUAUGUUUUCCUUUCACAAGAUAAACAAAAACUUGGAAAUGAAGUAGUAAAUUCCAAAAUUCUGCCAAUUAGAGAUAAAAGGAAUGUGCGAUAUACAGUCUAUGGGCUUUUAAAUGACAUGGUUAAUCAGUCCAAAUUUACCUACAAUAAAAUCAGUUCUUGCAAAUCCUAAACCAAUUUGACAAAAUAAUGAAGCAAAUAUACUAUUAUUCCGAAUGAAUUUCAGUUGACAAAUAGAGACGAUGGAAUUUAGAAAUCCCAUUUUACUGAUCUGGUAUAGAAUUUUUGAGACAAAGUAAUUUAGGGUCUGGACACAAAUUACUUGCACAACUAGUCACUAAUCAUUGCAGAAUCCUUGAUUUAGUCAUAGAUUGUUCACCCAAAACAAGAGUUUGCACAAAUUUUAGGGUUUUGGGAAUUUAGGCGUAUGAGGGAGUAAUGCCAGGAGAAGGAGGAUACGAAAUGAGAAAAUGAUACUUUGAAACCUUCGGAUUUUGAAUCUCACUUGUUCCAGGAGGAAGCUUGCUCCAGCGGCAGCGAAGCAGAGAAUUACGAGAGAGAGAGAAUGUUUGUUCCGGCGUUUGAGAGAGAGAAGAAUUACUGGAGUGUUUAUUCG